UGGGGAAUAUUGGACAAUGGGCGCCCNUNCUGAUCCAGCCAUACCGCGUGGGUGAAGAAGGCCUUCGGGUUGUAAAGCCCUUUUGUUGGGAAAGAAAUCCAGCCGGCUAAUACCUGGUUGGGAUGACGGUACCCAAAGAAUAAGCACCGGCUAACUUCGUGCCAGCAGCCGCGGUAAUACGAAGGGUGCAAGCGUUACUCGGAAUUACUGGGCGUAAAGCGUGCGUAGGUGGUCGUUUAAGUCCGUUGUGAAAGCCCUGGGCUCAACCUGGGAACUGCAGUGGAUACUGGGCGACUAGAGUGUGGUAGAGGGUAGCGGAAUUCCUGGUGUAGCAGUGAAAUGCGUAGAGAUCAGGAGGAACAUCCAUGGCGAAGGCAGCUACCUGGACCAACACUGACACUGAGGCACGAAAGCGUGGGGAGCAAACAGGAUUAGAUACCCUGGUAGUCCACGCCCUAAACGAUGCGAACUGGAUGUUGGGUGCAAUUUGGCACGCAGUAUCGAAGCUAACGCGUUAAGUUCGCCGCCUGGGGAGUACGGUCGCAAGACUG
rnacentral:rRNA from 1 species